rnacentral:tRNA from 1 species
CGCGGGAUGGAGCAGUGGUAGCUCGUCAGGCUCAUAACCUGAAGGUCGUACGUUCGAAUCGUACUCCCGCAACCA